UUAAUUGAAACCAAACAGAGGUAAAUCAUUGUUAAUGAUUAAAUUGAAUAUUUUCCAAUUAAA
rnacentral:tRNA from 1 species